GUGCUUGCUUCCGCAGCACACAUACUAAAAUUGGAACAAUACAGAGACUACCAUGGCCCCUGUGCAAGGAUGACAUGCAAACUCAUGGAACUUUCCAUAUUUUU
ensembl:snRNA U6 U6 spliceosomal RNA